rnacentral:rRNA from 1 species
UGGGGAAUAUUGCACAAUUGGCGCAAGCCUGAUGCAGCCAUGCCGCGUGUGUGAAGAAGGCCUUCGGGUUGUAAAGCACUUUCAUCGGGGAGGAAGGCGUUAAGGUUAAUAACCUUGGCGAUUGACGUUACCCGCAGAAGAAGCACCGGCUAACUCCGUGCCAGCAGCCGCGGUAAUACGGAGGGUGCAAGCGUUAAUCGGAAUUACUGGGCGUAAAGCGCACGCAGGCGGUCUGUCAAGUCGGAUGUGAAAUCCCCGGGCUCAACCUGGGAACUGCAUUCGAAACUGGCAGGCUAGAGUCUUGUAGAGGGGGGUAGAAUUCCAGGUGUAGCGGUGAAAUGCGUAGAGAUCUGGAGGAAUACCGGUGGCGAAGGCGGCCCCCUGGACAAAGACUGACGCUCAGGUGCGAAAGCGUGGGGAGAAAACAGG